rnacentral:rRNA from 1 species
CGGCAAUGGAGGAAGCUCUGACCGAGCAACGCCGCGUGAACGAUGAAGUAUUUCGGUACGUAAAGUUCUUUUAUUAGGGAAGAAUAAAUGAUGGAAAAAUCAUUCUGACGGUACCUAAUGAAUAAGCCCCGGCUAACUAUGUGCCAGCAGCCGCGGUAAUUCAUAGGGGGCAAGCGUUAUCCGGAAUUAUUGGGCGUAAAGGGUGCGUAGGCGGUUAAAUAAGUUUAUGGUCUAAGUGCAAUGCUCAACAUUGUGAUGCUAUUAAAACUGUUUAGCUAGAGUAAGAUAGAGGCAAGUGGAAUUCCAUGUGUAGUGGUAAAAUGCGUAAAUAUAUGGAGGAACACCAGUAGCGAAGGCGGCUUGCUGGGUCUUUACUGACGCUGAGGCACGAAAGCGUGGGGAGCAAACAGGAUUAGAUACCCUGGUAGUCCACGCCGUAAACGAUGAGUACUAAACGUUGGGUAAAACCAGUGUUGAAGUUAACACAUUAAGUACUCCGCCUGAGUAGUACGUACGCAAGUAUGAAACUUAAAGGAAUUGACGGGACUCCGCACAAGCGGUGGAUCAUGUUGUUUAAUUCGAAGGUACCCGAAAAACCUCACCAGGUCUUGACAUGCUUCUGCAAAGCUGUAGAAACACAGUGGAGGUUAUCAGUUGCACAGGUGGUGCAUGGUUGUCGUCAGCUCGUGUCGUGAGAUGUUGGGUUAAGUCCCGCAACGAGCGCAACCCUUAUUGUUAGUUACCAGCACGUAAUGGUGGGGACUUAAGCAAGACUGCCAGUGAUAAAUUGGAGGAAGGUGGGGACGACGUCAAAUCAUCAUGCCCCUUAUGACCUGGGCUACAAACGUGAUACAAUGGCUGUUACAAAGAGUAGCUGAA